UACGUAGGGUUCAAGCGUUGUCCGGAAUUAUUGGGCGUAAAGAGCUCGUAGGCGGUUUGUCGCGUCUGGUGUGAAAACUCAGGGCUUAACUCUGAGCUUGCAUCGGGUACGGGCAGACUAGAGUGUGCUAGGGGAGACUGGAAUUCCUGGUGUAGCGGUGAAAUGCGCAGAUAUCAGGAGGAACACCGGUGGCGAAGGCGGGUCUCUGGGGCAUAACUGACGCUGAGGAGCGAAAGCAUGGGGAGCGAACAGG
rnacentral:rRNA from 1 species